AUCUUUAACUCUUACACUCAGUCGUGAUGGAGAAUAUCGGGUUCAUCUGUCUCCUGCUGUGUGUGAGCGUACACACGGCCAACAGCGAAAAACGAUCUUGUCCAGAGAAAAACAUCUGCAUCCUUAAAUGUGGAGAGACUAACGGUAACAUGACCUGGAGCAGAGAUGUGGGUGGAAAAAGGGAGAAGAUUCUCACCGUCUACAAGGACACGGUUAUCAAACACAUCACUGAUCCAGACAGACGUUACAGCUCAGGAGGACGUCUAAUUCUGAGUAUAUAUAAAGUCUCGUUCUCAGACGCUGGUCAAUAUUACUGUAAUGAGAACUCAGUGGAGCUCCGUGUGAUAUCAAAGACUCAGAAAAACAUCAAAACGGGGGAUUGGUUGACGGUAACAGCCGUAGUAGUUGGGGGUUGUGCGCUUGUUUUAGUGUCACUUCUGGUUCUGUGGAGGUGUUUCUCCAAAAGGAAAGGUAGCACCGCCAAAGUACAGCACGAUUCAGCUGAAAAAGCAGGAUCUUCGGAUCUGUACACAUCGGUAUACAUCAACGAGACUCCAUCAGCUCCUCAACCAGCAGCUCCACAGCAGAUCCCAAAAGAUGGAUUUUACUAUCUGGCUACACAUCCAGGAAUCCAGAACAGGCGUUAACACACAACAUGUAGCACCACCGAAAUACAGCACGAUUCAGCUGAAAAAGCAGGAUCUUCGGAUCUGUACACAUCGGUAUACAUCAACGAGACUCCAUCAGCUCCUCAACCAGUUGGCCACCCCAGCAACUCACAAAGACGGCAACCAGCUUUACCUCAUCCUCACAUGUAACUCACACAAAAUUAUUACUUGUUACUCCUCUCCACACCUCUUACCAUUUCUUUAUCCAGUUUUCUAUUUCUCUCCCCUCACCCCCUCACAGUCUUCAACCUCUAUCUCUAUCUCUUUUAUGGCAAUCUUCGCUCCCUUUCCCCCCUCACAAUUCUCCUCCAUUGUCACAACCUCACUUCCCUCUGAUAGCCUCCUCUCCUCAUUGCCCUUAAACACCACAGUUGACAUUCUAUGUUCCACUCUAACAUCUUUGUUUUCAGUGACACUGACUUUGUUUACCUUCAACACGUGCAUUUGUUAUGGUUUUUUGCCCUGUCUCUGCCCCUGUAUUGUCAUUGUUUGUUUCCCGUAUGUGUCAGCAUUAGUCUCAGCUGUUUUGUGUUUCACCCCUGAUUAUGUUUAGUACUUAAACCCCUCAUGUCCCUUUGUACUUUGCGAUUAUUAGGUGAGUUUCUGUAUACCAGGCGUUUGUUUCUUGCUUCAUGUGUUAUUGGUUUGAUCUUGUUCUCACCCUCAUUCAUGAUUCCUGUUUUGCCAAUCGCUUGACCCAUUGCCUGUUAUUUGACCACGCUAUUGUCUCAUGAUUUGGAUUUGUCUGCCUGCCUCUCUUUAUUAAAAGCUCUUAUCUGCACUUGCAUCUGUCCUAACCUCCAUUACGUUUAAUUACGUGACAGAUAGAUAGAUAGAUAGAUAGAUAGAUAGAUAGAAAGAAAGAAAGAAAGAAACUUUAUUAAUCCUGAUGGAAAUUGCAACAUUACAGUAGUGGUAAAAG